rnacentral:rRNA from 1 species
GCAGUCGAACGGGAAGCCGGUGCUUGCACCGGUGGAGAGUGGCGAACGGCCUGAGUAACACGUAGGAACCUACCCCUCGGACCGGGAUAACGGAGCGAAAGCACCGCUAAUACCGGAUAUAUUCUUCGGAAGGAAACGGUCCGCUGCCGGGGGAAGGGCCUGCGGCGUAUUAGCUUGAUGGUGAGGUAACGGCUCACCAUGGCAAUGAUGCGUAGCUGGUCUGAGAGGACGAUCAGCCAGACUGGGACUGCGACGCGGCCCAGACUCCUACGGGAGGCAGCAGUUCAGAAUCUUGCCCAAUGGACGAAAGUCUGAGGCAGCCAUGCCGCGUGUGCGAAGAAGGCCCUCGGGUCGUAAAGCACUGUCAGGAGGGAAGAUAGUGACGGUACCUCCAGAGGAAGCCACGGCUAAUUCCGUGCCAGCAGCCGCGGUAAUACGGAAGUGGCGAGCGUUAUCCGGAAUCACUGGGCGUAAAGCGUUCGUAGGCGGCUGGGUAAGUCGGAUUUGAAAGCCCGGGGCUCAACUCCGGAACUGGAUCCGAAACUACCCUGCUUGAGCGGAUCAGAGGGCAGUGGAAUUCCCGGUGUAACGGUAAUAUGCGUAGAGAUCGGGAGGAACACCUGUGGCGAAGGCGGCUGCCUGGGGUCCUGCUGACGCUGAGGAACGAAAGCCAGGGGAGCGAACGGGAUUAGAUACCCCGGUAGUCCUGGCUGCAAACGAUGGGCACUAGGUGUCGGGGGCUUCGACCCC